GAUGAACGCUGGCGGCGUGCUUAACACAUGCAAGUCGAACGGGGGCGCAUAAGGAAGUAUGCUUGCAUAUGGAAUUAUGCGCCCAAGUGGCGGACGGGUGAGUAACGCGUGGGUAACCUGCCCCAUACCGGGGGAUACCAUCUGGAAACAGGUGCUAAUACCGCAUAAGCGCACGGUGCCGCAUGGCACAGUGUGAAAAAUUCCGGUGGUAUGGGAUGGGCCCGCGUCUGAUUAGCCAGUUGGCGGGGUAACGGCCCACCAAAGCGACGAUCAGUAGCCGGCCUGAGAGGGUGGACGGCCACAUUGGGACUGAGACACGGCCCAA
rnacentral:rRNA from 1 species